ACGUAGGUGGCAAGCGUUGUCCGGAAUGAUUGGGCGUAAAGAGCGCGUAGGUGGCUUGUUAAGUCUGAUGUGAAAGCCCUGCGCUUAACGCGAGGCUUGCUUUGGAAACUGUCGGGCUUGAGUGCAGGAGAGGUAAGUGGAAUUCCCGGUGUAGCGGUGAAAUGCGUAGAUAUCAGGAGGAACACCAGUGGCGAAGGCGGCUUACUGGACUGGAACUGACGCUGAGGCGCGAAAGUGUGGGGAGCAAACAG
rnacentral:rRNA from 1 species